CAGCUUGACUGCGAGCGUGACGGCGCGAGCAGGUGCGAAAGCAGGUCAUAGUGAUCCGGUGGUUCUGAAUGGAAGGGCCAUCGCUCAACGGAUAAAAGGUACUCCGGGGAUAACAGGCUGAUACCGCCCAAGAGUUCAUAUCGACGGCGGUGUUUGGCACCUCGAUGUCGGCUCAUCACAUCCUGGGGCUGAAGUAGGUCCCAAGGGUAUGGCUGUUCGCCAUUUAAAGUGGUACGCGAGCUGGGUUUAGAACGUCGUGAGACAGUUCGGUCCCUAUCUGCCGUGGGCGCUGGAGAACUGAGGGGGGCUGCUCCUAGUACGAGAGGACCGGAGUGGACGCAUCACUGGUGUUCGGGUUGUCAUGCCAAUGGCACUGCCCGGUAGCUAAAUGCGGAAGAGAUAAGUGCUGAAAGCAUCUAAGCACGAAACUUGCCCCGAGAUGAGUUCUCCCUGACCCUUUAA
rnacentral:rRNA from 1 species